GUACACUCCUGCGGGAGGCAGCAGUGGGGAAUAUUGCACAAUGGGCGCAAGCCUGAUGCAGCCAUGCCGCGUGUAUGAAGAAGGCCUUCGGGUUGUAAAGUACUUUCAGCGGGGAGGAAGGCGAUAAGGUUAAUAACCUUGUUGAUUGACGUUACCCGCAGAAGAAGCACCGGCUAACUCCGUGCCAGCAGCCGCGGUAAUACGGAGGGUGCAAGCGUUAAUCGGAAUUACUGGGCGUAAAGCGCACGCAGGCGGUCUGUCAAGUCGGAUGUGAAAUCCCCGGGCUCAACCUGGGAACUGCAUUCGAAACUGGCAGGCUAGAGUCUUGUAGAGGGGGGUAGAAUUCCAGGUGUAGCGGUGAAAUGCGUAGAGAUCUGGAGGAAUACCGGUGGCGAAGGCGGCCCCCUGGACAAAGACUGACGCUCAGGUGCGAAAGCGUGGGGAGCAAACAGGAUUAGAAACCCCGGUAGUCCCAUG
rnacentral:rRNA from 1 species